UACGUAGGGUGCGAGCGUUAAUCGGAAUUACUGGGCGUAAAGCGUGCGCAGGCGGUGAUGUAAGACCGAUGUGAAAUCCCCGGGCUUAACCUGGGAACUGCAUUGGUGACUGCAUCGCUCGAGUAUGGCAGAGGGGGGUAGAAUUCCACGUGUAGCAGUGAAAUGCGUAGAGAUGUGGAGGAAUACCGAUGGCGAAGGCAGCCCCCCUGGGUCAAUACUGACGCUCAGGCACGAAAGCGUGGGGAGCAAACAGGG
rnacentral:rRNA from 1 species